GAUGAACGCUGGCGGCGUGCCUAAUACAUGCAAGUCGAGCGAAUGGAUUAAGAGCUUGCUCUUAUGAAGUUAGCGGCGGACGGGUGAGUAACACGUGGGUAACCUGCCCAUAAGACUGGGAUAACUCCGGGAAACCGGGGCUAAUACCGGAUAACAUUUUGAACCGCAUGGUUCGAAAUUGAAAGGCGGCUUCGGCUGUCACUUAUGGAUGGACCCGCGUCGCAUUAGCUAGCUGGUGAGGUAACGGCUCACCAAGGCAACGAUGCGUAGCCGACCUGAGAGGGUGAUCGGCCACACUGUGACUGAAACACGGCCCAGACUCCUACGGGAGGCAGCAGUAGGGAAUCUUCCGCAAUGGACGAAAGUCUGACGGAGCAACGCCGCGUGAGUGAUGAAGGCUUUCGGGUCGUAAAACUCUGUUGUUAGGGAAGAACAAGUGCUAGUUGAAUAAGCUGGCACCUUGACGGUACCUAACCAGAAAGCCACGGCUAACUACGUGCCAGCCGCCGCGGUAA
rnacentral:rRNA from 1 species